CUGACCCUCUAUAUUUCUAAAUGUAUCAUGAAGUAGUCCAUCAAUAUCGUCCCACAUAGUAGAACCUUCAUCAUCAUUGCUUGGAUGAGGAGUAUUUCUUGAGGAAAAGCCUUCCCCGUGGAAAACCCAUUUGGUAUAACCAUCAACAAAUCCAUGAACAACCAAAUGAUCCUCCACCACAUUUCUAUAAUACCAUUAGCGAUUCAUGCACUUUUUGCAAGGACAUAAUAUUUCAUUUCCUUGGGCGGCUCGUUCAAAUGCCUUAUCAAGAAAAUCAUUCACUCCAUGGAUAUACUCAUCCGUCCAUCUCAGGGGAUUCAUCCAACUUUUAUCACCAUUAUCCAUAGAUAUCCUAUACGAUAAAAGUAAAUCAAGAAAACUAACCAAAUAAACCAAAAGCAUAUUAAUUUAAGGGUGAAACUGAGAAAGUCAGAAACACUAAAGCAAUUCAAGGCCUUUAAAAGUUAACUUCUUAAAAAUCAUCUCUUACUAUAUGAAUAGGAAAGAUGUGAUUAAGUUAUUAUACUUUUCUAAGACAAAAUCCUUAUGAUUUAUAGGCAAAAUCUAUUACAGCCCCAUGGAUAUAACUUGGGUAAGAGGGAAGUAUUACAACAAUGAGGAAGUAUGGAUUAUGGUUAUCAUGACACGAAACAGUGAUAGCUAUUCUUGGUUAACAACACAUGCUUAUCCUAUUCAUGGAACAUUCAACCUACAUUAAGAGGGCUAGACCAGCUUGUCUUCUACUGUAAUUCUUUCUUUCUUAAGUGUACUGUAAUAGUACUCAUUUCAAAUUUAUUUUUCCUUUUUGCUUAACAAGACAGAUGACCACUUAGGUUUUAUAAAUUUCUUCUUUCUUUAGUUUGCUUUAAGGAGAUAUGAUGAUCAUACAGACUAGUUGAAACAUACUGCAUUACUUACAGCAUAUAGUAAUGUUAACCUGCUCUUCUGAUUAAGAUUCAACCAAAAAGAACAAACGGAUUUUCACAACAGUAGGAAACAAUAAAAAAUAAAAUGGAUGACACGACAUAGACUUAUGAACAUCACUGUUAUAUUUCCAUUAAUAUAUUUUUACUUUGUCAAGAGGUUAAGUGCUUGACAAACAAACAUAAGCCAUCUUUGACGUUGAAGCCACAUUGGACCAUACACAAAUGCUGCACUGAGCAUAUGAAAUAGCAGAGGGCCGAUUAGGUUAGACACCAGGACUAAACAGAUUACACAGAAAGAAUAUCUUCAGAAUAGUAAGUUUAGGAUUUAGCUACAUAUAUCCACACUGAUUGUCCGAAGCUUCCUCUCAUUCCCAAUGCCAACAACAAAGUCUCCAAAUUUCAUCUUUUUGCAAAGAUUUAAUUUUAAGUUAAGACAUAGCCACUUAAAAUUUUCAAGUUCAAGCAAAUUUUUAAUAAACACAUUAUCUGUAGAGUUUACGUACUUUUCCGUCUCAGUGCCCAAAUAUUCACAUAAUGCGGAUGCAUAAUCCAGAUCUAUAUGGAUCACGAAGACCAGUUGUUUUAACAGUUCUAAGCUAAAGAUUUAAUACUGCAAGCAGGAUUCAACAAUCUCAGUAAUAAUAUGUUGAGUGCUACCAUAUAAGAAGCCACUAGCUAAUCAACUAACCUCCUUCUAUCGUCUUCAAUUAAAAAUCUACUAAACCAAAAAUUCCUAAAUGGAUUCGUUUAAUUAUAUCAUAAAUCCAUGAAUUAAGAACCUUUUUGCUAAGAACUAAAAAACAUAGUAAAAACGUAUAGAAGUGGUAACAAAAACAGUAAAAAUGACCAAAGGAAUUAAGAAAAUUACCAGGCUAUGGUGAUUUUGGGCUUCUCUGAUUGAAGCACAAAUCUAAUUUUAGAAUUUGGGGAUUUGGGGAAGGAGUGCCGGCGAAGCAACUGUCCCUGAAGAAGUGCCGAAAAACCGACGGAAGUCCCUGAAGAAGUGCCGGAGAAGUCCCCGACUGUCCUCAUGGUUUUGAGCUUUGGGAACUCUAGGGUUUGAUGAUUAUGGAAGUCUAAUGAAUAGGUAUUUGAUGAAACUCAGCCAUUAAUCUUAAACUUGGCAAAGAUGCAAAAAGAAAAGAGAUCAGAGAGUAGUUCGACGAUGAAGAAGGAGGGGAUUUUGGGUAUUCGACGAUGGGAGCUUGCAGUAUCGACGAGGGGAGUAGUUCUGGGUCGAGGGGUCU
rnacentral:lncRNA from 1 species